rnacentral:rRNA from 1 species
GACGAACGCUGGCGGCGUGCUUUACACAUGCAAGUCGAACGGAAAGGCCCUGCUUUUGUUGGGUGCUCGAGUCGCGAACGUGUGUGUAACACGGGAGUAACCUGCCCUUGACUUUGGGAUAACUUCAGGAAACUGGUGCUAAUACCGGAUAGGAGCUCGUGCUGCAUGGUGGGGGUUGGAAAGUUUCGGCGGUUGGGGAUGGACUCUCGGCUUAUCAGCUUGUUGGUGGGGUAGUGGCUUACCAAGGCUUUGACGGGUAGCCGGCCUGAGAGGGUGACCGGCCACAUUGGGACUGCGAUACGGCCCAGAGUCCUACGGGAGGCAGUAGGGGGGAAUAUUGCACAAUGGGCGGAAGCCUGAUGCAGCAACGCCGCGUGCGGGAUGACGGUCUUCGGGUUGUAAACCGCUUUCGCCUGUGACGAAGCGUGAGUGACGGUAAUGGGUAAAGAAGCACCGGCUAACUACGUG